UCCUGGCUCAGGAUGAACGCUAGCUACAGGCUUAACACAUGCAAGUCAGGGGAAACGACAUCGAAAGCUUGCUUUGAUCGGGCGUCGACCGGCGCACGGGUGAGUAACGCGUAUCCAACCUGCCCAUCACUUGGGGAUAACCUUGCGAAAGUAAGACUAAUACCCAAUGACGUCUCUAGAAGACAUCUGAAAGAGAUUAAAGAUUUAUCCGCUUUGAGAUGGCCUCGCGUCCGAUUAGCUAGUUGGUGAGGUAAUGGCCCACCAAGGCGACGAUCGGUAGCCGGACUGAGAGGUUGAACGGCCACAUUGGAACUGAGACACGGUCCAAACUCCUACGGGAGGCAGCAGUGAGGAAUAUUGGGUCAAUGGGCGAGAGCCUGAACCAGCCAAGUAGCGUGAAGGAUGACUGCCCUAUGGGUUGUAAACUUCUUUUAUAAAGGAAUAAAGUCGGGUAUGGAUACCCGUUUGCAUGUACUUUAUGAAUAAGGAUCGGCUAACUCCGUG
rnacentral:rRNA from 1 species